rnacentral:rRNA from 1 species
UACGUAGGGUGCGAGCGUUAAUCGGAAUUACUGGGCGUAAAGCGUGCGCAGGCGGUUUUGUAAGCCAGAUGUGAAAUCCCCGGGCUUAACCUGGGAAUGGCAUUUGGGACUGCAAGGCUGGAGUUUGGCAGAGGAGACUGGAAUUCCCGGUGUAGCAGUGAAAUGCGUAGAUAUCGGGAGGAACACCGGUGGCGAAGGCGGUUCUCUGGGCCUGUUCUGACGCUGAGGAGCGAAAGCGUGGGGAGCAAACAGG